GAUGAACGCUGGCGGCGUGCCUAAUACAUGCAAGUCGAGCGAACAGACGAGGAGCUUGCUCCUCUGACGUUGGGGGCGCAGGGGGGGGAAACCGGAGGAAACCGUCCUUGAAGGUCGGGGAAAAUUAGGGAAACCGGGCGCAAAACCGGUAAAAUAUCUUGAACCGAGGGGUUCAUUGGAAAAGUACGGUUUUCUGGGAUGUAAUCGCGGAUUCCCGCCGCCUUAGCUAGGUGGUAAGGUAACGGCUUACCAAGGGAAAGAUGCGUAGCCGAACUGAGAGGGUGAUCGGCCACACUGGAACUGAGACACGGUCCAGACUCCUACGGGAGGCAGCAGUAGGGAAUCUUCCGCAAUGGGCGAAAGCUUGACGGAGCAACGCCGCGUGAGUGAUGAAGGUCUUCGGAUCGUAAAACUCUGUUAUUAGGGAAGAACAAAUGUGUAAGUAACUAUGCACGUCUUGACGGUACCUAAUCAGAAAGCCACGGCUAACUACGUG
rnacentral:rRNA from 1 species